AUGUAAAGCCUCUCUGGGUCCUGAUGGGCAGCUAUAGCUCAGCCCUGAUGCCCGAAGCAGAAGAGUUUGAAUCAAUCGUGUCGGUCGGGGAGAAGCUGGAUGAGCGGGUUUCCCUCGCCGCAGAUGAGAGGUCACAGUCUGACCUUCAGACUCCGUCAACAGACACGAUGGAGGCGGAACAAGUGAAUCAGCCUGACGAACACUCUGAUGUGACCAGCGAAGAGGUCACCGUACCCAAAGGUGUACAGACACAGUCCUUCUCCUCGCUGCUACCCAAGGCUCUGUCCGCCAUCUUAAACCCAGCAUCGCGUGCGACCUCUGACCCCCAGCCCGGUAGGCACCCGUCUCCGGCAGAAGUGGAGCAGCUGCGGACGGAGCUGAGAGACCUGAGGGACCAGUUCAAUCAGAUGAAGACUCAGCACAACAAAGAAAUCAAAGAGCUGAUGAGCGAGCUGGAUGAGGAGAAACGGAUCCGGCUGACGUUACAGAUGGAGAUCCAGCGUUUGAAGAAACACGUGGGGAAGUGA
rnacentral:lncRNA from 1 species